rnacentral:rRNA from 1 species
UACGUAGGUGGCAAGCGUUGUCCGGAAUUACUGGGCGUAAAGCGCAUGUAGGCGGUUUGAUCAGUCGGAUGUGAAAUCCCCGAGCUUAACUUGGGAAUGGCAUUCGAUACUGUCAAGCUAGAGUAGGCUAGAGGAAAGGGGAAUUCCGCGUGUAGCAGUGAAAUGCGUAGAUAUGCGGAGGAACACCAAUGGCGAAGGCACCUUUCUGGGGUCAUACUGACGCUGAGAUGCGAAAGCGUGGGGAGCAAACAGGAUUAGAUACCCUGGUAGUCCACGCCCUAAACGAUGUCAACUAGUUGUUGGGAGGGUUUAACCUUUCGGUGACGAAGCUAACGUAUUAAGUUGACCGCCUGGGGAGUACGGCCGCAAGGUUGAA